AAAUUGAAGAGUUUGAUCAUGGCUCAGAUUGAACGCUGGCGGCAGGCCUAACACAUGCAAGUCGAACGGUAACAGGAAGCAGCUUGCUGCUUCGCUGACGAGUGGCGGACGGGUGAGUAAUGUCUGGGAAACUGCCUGAUGGAGGGGGAUAACUACUGGAAACGGUGGCUAAUACCGCAUAACGUCGCAAGACCAAAGAGGGGGACCUUCGGGCCUCUUGCCAUCAGAUGUGCCCAGAUGGGAUUAGCUUGUUGGUGAGGUAACGGCUCACCAAGGCGACGAUCCCUAGCUGGUCUGAGAGGAUGACCAGCCACACUGGAACUGAGACACGGUCCAGACUCCUACGGGAGGCAGCAGUGGGGAAUAUUGCACAAUGGGCGCAAGCCUGAUGCAGCCAUGCCGCGUGUAUGAAGAAGGCCUUCGGGUUGUAAAGUACUUUCAGCGGGGAGGAAGGUGUUGUGGUUAAUAACCACAGCAAUUGACGUUACCCGCAGAAGAAGCACCGGCUAACUCCGUGCCAGCAGCCGCGGUAAUACGGAGGGUGCAAGCGUUAAUCGGAAUUACUGGGCGUAAAGCGCACGCAGGCGGUCUGUCAAGUCGGAUGUGAAAUCCCCGGGCUCAACCUGGGAACUGCAUUCGAAACUGGCAGGCUUGAGUCUUGUAGAGGGGGGUAGAAUUCCAGGUGUAGCGGUGAAAUGCGUAGAGAUCUGGAGGAAUACCGGUGGCGAAGGCGGCCCCCUGGACAAAGACUGACGCUCAGGUGCGAAAGCGUGGGGAGCAAACAGGAUUAGAUACCCUGGUAGUCCACGCCGUAAACGAUGUCUACUUGGAGGUUGUGCCCUUGAGGCGUGGCUUCCGGAGCUAACGCGUUAAGUAGACCGCCUGGGGAGUACGGCCGCAAGGUUAAAACUCAAAUGAAUUGACGGGGGCCCGCACAAGCGGUGGAGCAUGUGGUUUAAUUCGAUGCAACGCGAAGAACCUUACCUGGUCUUGACAUCCACAGAACUUUCCAGAGAUGGAUUGGUGCCUUCGGGAACUGUGAGACAGGUGCUGCAUGGCUGUCGUCAGCUCGUGUUGUGAAAUGUUGGGUUAAGUCCCGCAACGAGCGCAACCCUUAUCCUUUGUUGCCAGCGAUUAGGUCGGGAACUCAAAGGAGACUGCCAGUGAUAAACUGGAGGAAGGUGGGGAUGACGUCAAGUCAUCAUGGCCCUUACGACCAGGGCUACACACGUGCUACAAUGGCGCAUACAAAGAGAAGCGACCUCGCGAGAGCAAGCGGACCUCAUAAAGUGCGUCGUAGUCCGGAUUGGAGUCUGCAACUCGACUCCAUGAAGUCGGAAUCGCUAGUAAUCGUGGAUCAGAAUGCCACGGUGAAUACGUUCCCGGGCCUUGUACACACCGCCCGUCACACCAUGGGAGUGGGUUGCAAAAGAAGUAGGUAGCUUAACCUUCGGGAGGGCGCUUACCACUUUGUGAUUCAUGACUGGGGUGAAGUCGUAACAAGGUAACCGUAGGGGAACCUGCGGUUGGAUCACCUCCUUACCUGAAAGAAGC
rnacentral:rRNA from 1 species